UAGGAUAAUAGUUAAAAUUAUAACAUUUAAGUUGCAUUUAAAAAGUAUUGGAAUCCAAUUUAUCUU
rnacentral:tRNA from 1 species